rnacentral:rRNA from 1 species
UACAGAGGGUGCGAGCGUUAAUCGGAAUUACUGGGCGUAAAGCGCACGUAGGUGGCGACGUAAGUCGGGUGUGAAAUCCCCGGGCUCAACCUGGGAACUGCAUUUGUGACUGCACAGCUGGAGUGCGGCAGAGGGGGAUGGAAUUCCGCGUGUAGCAGUGAAAUGCGUAGAUAUGCGGAGGAACACCGAUGGCGAAGGCGGGUCUCUGGGCCGAUACUGACGCUGAGGAGCGAAAGCGUGGGGAGCGAACAGG